rnacentral:rRNA from 1 species
GGGUGCAAGCGUUGUCCGGAAUUACUGGGCGUAAAGAGCUCGUAGGCGGUUUGUCGCGUCGUCUGUGAAAACUCGAGGCUCAACCUCGAGCUUGCAGGCGAUACGGGCAGACUUGAGUACUGCAGGGGAGACUGGAAUUCCUGGUGUAGCGGUGAAAUGCGCAGAUAUCAGGAGGAACACCGGUGGCGAAGGCGGGUCUCUGGGCAGUAACUGACGCUGAGGAGCGAAAGCGUGGGUAGCGA